CGCGAAUGGCUCAUUACAACAGCUAACAAAUCUACUUGAUCUUGACACAAUCCUACUUGGAUAACUGUGGUAAUUCUAGAGCUAAUACAUGCAUUAAAGCUCUGACCUUCGGGGAAGAGUGCAUUUAUUAGAACAAAACCAAGCGGCUUCGGCUGUUUUCGGUUGACUCAUAGUAACUGAGCUGAUCGCAUGGUCUUGCACCGGCGACGUGUCUUUCGAGUAUCUGCCGUAUCAACUUUCGAUGGUAGUGUAUCUGACUACCAUGGUGAUCACGCGUAACGGAGAAUAAGGGUUCGACUCCGGAGAGUUCGCCUGAGAAAUCGCGAACACAUCUAAGGAAGGCAGCAGGCGCGCAAAUUACCCACUCUCAAUUCGAGGAGGUAGUGACAACAACUAACGAGACUGCUCCCUUUGGGAACAGUCAUCGAAAUGGGUACAAUUUAAACCCUUUAACGAGGAUCAAUGAGAGGGCAAGUCUGGUGCCAGCAGCCGCGGUAAUUCCAGCU
rnacentral:rRNA from 1 species